rnacentral:rRNA from 1 species
CCUACGGGAGGCUGCAGCAAGGAAUCUUCGGCAAUGGGCGCAAGCCUGACCGAGCAACGCCGCGUGGAGGAUGACGGCCUUCGGGUUGUAAACUCCUUUUCUGGGGGAAGAAACGGACGGUACCCCAGGAAGAAGCCCCGGCUAACUCUGUGCCAGCAGCCGCGGUAAGACAGAGGGGGCAAGCGUUGUCCGGACUUACUGGGCGUACAGCGCGCGCAGGCGGUGGUCUAGGUACCUGGUGACAUUCUCGCGCUCAACGCGAGAAGGUCUGGGUAGACCGGACCGCUAGAGGCCGAGAGAGGGAGGUGGAAUGCCCAGUGGAGCGGUGAAAUGCGUAGAGAUUGGGCGGAACACCAGCGGGGAAGCCGACCUCCUGGCUCGGACCUGACGCUGAGGCGCGACAGCGUGGGGAGCAAACGGGAUUAGAUACCCUUGUAGUC